AUUGAACGCUGGCGGCAUGCCUUACACAUGCAAGUCGAACGGUAGCGCGGGGGCAACCCUGGCGACGAGUGGCGAACGGGUGAGUAAAGUAUCGGAACGUGCCCUAGAGUGGGGGAUAACUAGUCGAAAGCUAGCUAAUACCGCAUACGAUCUAUGGAUGAAAGUGGGGAUCGCAAGACCUCAUGCUCAUGGAGCGGCCGAUAUCUGAUUAGCUAGNGGUAGGGUAAAGCCUACCAAGGCGACGAUCAGUAGCUGGUCUGAGAGGACGACCAGCCACACUGGGACUGAGAC
rnacentral:rRNA from 1 species